AUGUUUUACGAAAUUAUCAGCUUGACGAACGAUUGACUGACUUCAGCUGGGAAAGGUUCGGUUGCCAAAUGAACAUACAAACAUACUACUUCAUUACAUUGUGUAUUUAUUCUGCCUGUUUAUUUGAUUGCAUUCUGCCUUUUUAUUUCAUGACAUAUGGGUGCAGUACAAGUUGUUUUUACUUGAUGAGGGCCCAUGCAGUUAACACUGGAGAGAAUUUAUGAAGUUACUCACCUCACAGUGGCAAAUGCAGAAAGAAGGAGGUUAUCUUGAAUUCAGCUUGUGUUGUGAUAUUACUGGCUGUUGUCAGGAAACCGACUUGGAAUUCAGACAGAAUCCAUUAAGUAUACAUCGUAUCCGACUUUAAUUUCAUUUCCGGGGGCCUUUCUCUCUGCUUAGAGAAAACUACAUAUACACGAAAUUCAAGGAAUCUGCGAACGCUGAGGCGUCCGUGAUCAUCCUUUGCCGUGUGCAUGACGCAACUUCUUCAUAAGGCGGACCCCAGGACAUUUGUUACCUCCCCUGUUCUAACAACGCAUUUAUUUAUUUAUUUAUGAAUGGUGCUUUACGCCGUACUCAAGAAUAUUUCAGUAAUACGACGGCGGUCUAACAUCAAGAUUAAAAUAUUUUAACUUGCAUGUGCAUGUCUCUUUUUUAGGCCUAGUCAUAUAUUAUUUUACUAAUUAUUAAAUAUUAACGAAAGACUAGAAAUAAGCCAGGCUGCUACUUUACUGCCUGUAUAGGAUAUAUUGUUUAUGCCGCGUUUUCACACACAUUAGGCCGUAGGGAAUGGAGCCGCCAGCAUAUGCCAAUAUAGGCCUAUGUAGGCCUAGGUUCCUAUACCCAAUGCGCGUCAACAUUGAUUUUCAUUUUAUUUUAUGUAUUCGCAUGUCUUUUUCAUUUCAUUAAUAGAGGAAAUAUUUACAAUAACCUUCGAUUUACAGUUCCUUUUCAUGUACCCUUUGAAAGAAAACACAACAC